UCGAGAAUUUUUCACAAUGGGCGCAACCCUGAUCGAGCGACGCCGCGUGGGUGAUGAAUGCCUUCGGCCCGUAAACCCCUUUCGUUCGCGACCAAAUUUCUCGGUCUAACAUUCCGAUAGCUUGAUGGUACCGGAAGAAUAAGCACCGGCUAACUAUGUGCCAGCAGCCGCGGUAAUACGUAGGUCGCAAGCGUUAUUCGGAUUUACUGGGCGUAAAGCGUGCGCAGGUGGUUGGGUAAGUCUGCUGUGAAAUCUCCGAGCUUAACUCGGAAACUGCAGCUGAUACUAUACAGCUUGAGGGUGGGAGGGGGGACUGGAAUUCUACGUGUAGCAGUGAAAUGCGUAGAUAUGGAGAGGAAUACUGGUGGCGAAGGCGGCUUGCUGGGCAGCAACUGACGCUGAGGCGCGAAAGCCAGGGGAGCAAACG
rnacentral:rRNA from 1 species